GCCUCUUUAGCCCAAUGGUAGGGCGUUGGACUUCUAAGCUGGGAUAUCUACCAAGAUAUUCCGCUAUCCAAAGGUUGUGGGUUCGAGUCCCACAAGAGGUG